rnacentral:rRNA from 1 species
UACGUAGGUGGCAAGCGUUGUCCGGAAUUAUUGGGCGUAAAGCGCGCGCAGGCGGUCCCUUAAGUCUGAUGUGAAAGCCCACGGCUCAACCGUGGAGGGUCAUUGGAAACUGGGGGACUUGAGUACAGAAGAGGAAAGCGGAAUUCCACGUGUAGCGGUGAAAUGCGUAGAUAUCUGGAGGAACACCGGUGGCGAAGGCGGCAUCCUGGACCGGCAUUGACGCUGAGGCGCGAAAGCCAGGGGAGCAAACAGG